rnacentral:rRNA from 1 species
GACGUAGGGCGCGAGCGUUGUCCGGAUUUAUUGGGCGUAAAGGGCGCGUAGGCGGCCUGAUAAGUCGGGGGUGAAAUCCUGCGGCUUAACCGCAGGGCUGCCUUCUAAACUGUCAGGCUGGAGCACAGUAGAGGCAGGUGGAAUUCCCGGUGCAGCGGUGGAAUGCGUAGAGAUCGGGAAGAACAUCAGUGGCGAAGGCGGCCUGCUGGGCUGUUGCUGACGCUGAGGCGCGAUAGCGUGGGGAGCAAACAGG